CGGGGUGAGUAACGCGUGGGCAACCUGCCCCAUACAGGGGGAUAACAGCCGGAAACGGCUGCUAAUACCGCAUAAGCGCACAGCGCCGCAUGGCGCAGUGUGAAAAACUCCGGUGGUAUGGGAUGGGCCCGCGUCUGAUUAGCCAGUUGGCGGGGUAACGGCCCACCAAAGCAACGAUCAGUAGCCGGCCUGAGAGGGUGGACGGCCACAUUGGGACUGAGAGACGGCCCAGACUCCUACGGGAGGCAGCAG
rnacentral:rRNA from 1 species